rnacentral:tRNA from 1 species
UGGAGAUUAGCUCAAUGGUAGAGCGUCGGUUUUACACUCCGAAGACCUAGGGUUCGAUUCCCUUAUCUCCAACCA